CACGUAGGCGGCUUGGUAUGUCGGGUGUGAAAUCCCCCGGGCUCAACCUGGGAACUGCAUCCGAAACUGCCUUGCUAGAGUAUGGGAGAGGGAAGUGGAAUUUCCGGUGUAGCGGUGAAAUGCGUAGAUAUCGGAAGGAACAUCAGUGGCGAAGGCGACUUCCUGGACCAAUACUGACGCUCAGGUGCGAAAGCGUGGGGAGCAAACAG
rnacentral:rRNA from 1 species